rnacentral:rRNA from 1 species
UACCAGCUCUCCGAGUGGUAGGGAUGAUUAUUGGGCUUAAAGCGUCCGUAGCCGGCUUAGCAAGUCUCCUGUUAAAUUCAGCGACCUAAUCGUUGAGCCGCGGGAGAUACUACUGGGCUAGGAGGCGGGAGAGGUCGACGGUACUUCCGGGGUAGGGGUGAAAUCCUAUAAUCCCGGGAGGACCACCAGUGGCGAAGGCUGUCGACUAGAACGCGCUCGACGGUGAGGGACGAAAGCUGGGGGGAGCGAACCGGAUUAGAUACCCGGGUAGUCCCAGCUGUAAACGAUGCGGGCUAGGUGUUGGGGUGGCUACGUGCCACUUCAGUGCCGCAGGGAAGCCAUUAAGCCCGCCGCCUGGGGAGUACGGCCGCAAGGCUGAAACUUAAAGGAAUUGGCGGGGGAGCACCACAAGGCGUGAAGCUUGCGGUUC